UAAGUCAGGGGUAUUCUGUCUUUUUUGUUAACUUAAAGGGCAAUUCGGUGUAAUGGAUUCGGUCAUGGGUAUUUUAAAUGCUUGUACAUAAAGUGAAAAAGAUCGGAUUGCUCUUUAAGUAACCAAAAAAGGCAAAAAUGCCACUGACUUAACGAAGAAAAAAUGGAUGGAGUUAACAAGUAUUAAUUAUAUAUCUGUUUAAACAGUAUUAUAUCUUAUUCAAAAUACUAAUUUAUCAUUAACUAAGGCAUGGUGUAACUAUGCCAAGGUGCUUGUCACAAUUAAGAAGUAAUUUAUUCAAGCCUCCUAUCACUACAGAAUUAUGAGCUUUAGUGGCGACAGCAUUAGCGGCGACUGCUAAUAUGUCCACUGAAAUCCAACCACCUCCGAUAACGUCCACUGAAAUCCAACCACCUCCAGCGACAUACACGGUCACCUCCACUAAAAUGCAACCACUUCCGGCCAUCUUCGUUGAAAUCCGGUCACCUCUACUGAAAUCCGGCCAUUUCCACUGAAAUCUGGUCACCUCUGCUUUUAUGCACUAGAUCAAGACUACAAGAACCGUUCAGUUGGACAACCUUUGUGAUUUUAUUCAAACUGAAACAUCCUACAAUGUACCGUCUAAGGCAACAACUUCAUCUAUUUCUAUGAAGAACAUAACUCUCAAACCAGAAUAGAAUAACGGAGAGUUGACAUCAUGUAAAGCAUGGGAGGAAUAGAGAUAACAAGAUUCAUGGAUCGCUUGGAGCUAAUUUUUUUAUAGUAAUAUUCCUACCUGAAGACUUAUGCUGUAAAUAUUUGGAAUAUGUUAUGUAUUGAAAUUAUAGUUGAAAUUAUGAUAUUAUAAUUUCUAAAUUUUAUAGUUGUAUAUUUUAUUUUA